rnacentral:rRNA from 1 species
GAUGAACGCUGGCGGCGUGCCUAAUACAUGCAAGUCGAGCGAACGGACGAGAAGCUUGCUUUUCUGAUGUUAGCGGCGGACGGGUGAGUAACACGUGGAUAACCUACCUAUAAGACUGGGAUAACUUCGGGAAACCGGAGCUAAUACCGGAUAAUAUUUUGAACCGCAUGGUUCAAAAGUGAAAGACGGUCUUGCUGUCACUUAUAGAUGGAUCCGCGCUGCAUUAGCUAGUUGGUAAGGUAACGGCUUACCAAGGCAACGAUGCAUAGCCGACCUGAGAGGGUGAUCGGCCACACUGGAACUGAGACACGGUCCAGACUCCUACGGGAGGCAGCAGCAGGGAAUCUUCCGCAAUGGGCGAAAGCCUGACGGAGCAACGCCGCGUGAGUAAUGAAGGUCUUCGGAUCGUAAAACUCUGUUAUUAGGGAAGAACAUAUGUGUAAGUAACUGUGCACAUCUUGACGGUACCUAAUCAGAAAGCCACGGCUAACUACGUG